rnacentral:tRNA from 1 species
GUUUUUAUAGUUUAAUCUUAAAACAUUAAUUUUGUAAAUUAAAAAUAAUAAAAUAUUUAAAAACU